CGAGCGGGUGAGUAACGCGUGAGGAACCUGCCUCAAAGAGGGGGACAACAGUUGGAAACGACUGCUAAUACCGCAUAAGCCCACGGGUCGGCAUCGACCUGAGGGAAAAGGAGCAAUCCGCUUUGAGAUGGCCUCGCGUCCGAUUAGCUAGUUGGUGAGGUAACGGCCCACCAAGGCGACGAUUGGUAGCCGGACUGAGAGGUUGAACGGCCACAUUGGGACUGAGACACGGCCCAG
rnacentral:rRNA from 1 species